AAACAAAAAAAUCUCUCUAAUCCUAACGUCUCUCUCCACUACAAUUUCUGUCUGCUCCACUCACUCUCCACUACCUCUCCUCUCUCUACUGUACGAAAGAAAAGAAAAAAAGAAAAAAAGAAAAAGGAGAAUCCCUAUUUGAAUCACCCAGCUCCCUCACUCUCGCAGACACCAUUCACUACUCACAUCUCUCUCUGAAAAAUCCCUCGCAGUCACUCUCACACAAAAGCCCUCUUUCUCUCAAAUCCUCAAAAAACCUCUCCACAAAUCUUUCAUUUCCAUCCGGAAACGCCACCGUCAAGCUCCGUCACAACCUCCACCAUC
rnacentral:lncRNA from 1 species